CUGCCUCUUCCAUCACUUCUCUCUUUCUCACAGCCUCAGUUCUCUCUCAGUUUCCUAAUGAAACCCCUCUCUCACAUAUCGAAUUUCUAUCUCAAUCUCGGAAAUCGAAGAUUAUUCAUAAUCCCAUCUCAAAUUCAAUCGAACCUCAAUCUCACAAAUCGAAGCUUAUUCAUAACCGCAUCUCAAAAUCAAAACUCGUGAAUCAGCAGAAAUGAAAAGCAAACACUUUUUAUUGUAAUUCAAAAAUCUAGUUUGAUUAAUGGGAAGAAGAAGAUAUUGAACUAGAGAUCACUGAACUAAUUUUUAACUUUGAUUUAGUUUUUACUUGGGAUUGUCAUUAUUUGAUUAGAUUAGAUUUGAUUCGUAUUAUUUAAUUCGAUCUGAAGAUAUAGAUCCAUCAUCGACGACAUCAUGUACUCUUAUUGCUGCUAUUUCUGGUGGUGAUGAAGACCCAAGAAGAAGAUCUCCUCAUGUAUAAUUGCAAAUAUUGGCUUUAAAAGGGGUUGGAAACAAUCAGCAGAGGACAUCUCUGGACCAAGACAAUCCCUGCACUUUAGCUGCUUGAUAAAAGUUCAACGAGGAGCAUUUUAGAUCAUCUUAACUUUCCGUUCACCAUUAACACUUCAUUCACAUCAUCUAUACCGUAGGACAGAAGCUUCAUGGAUUAACCAAAUUCAUACUACUCAUUCCUGGAAAUUCCUAUUCCACAGUAUGACCAACUGACAGAAAUUGAAUCUAAAGAUGAUGUGAUCAUUGGCAUCCUAGAUUCUGGUAAAUAUGGAACUGAAUUGCCAGCUUAUUGGAUUGUAGCUUAUACUUCCCGAACUCAUCUUAAUAAUAUACGACUGUUAAUAUACUUAUUAGAUCUUGUGUAGAUUAUCUUGCAUACUGUUACUUGUCAUUUUGAGAUCAUGUGUGGAUUGUAAUCAUGUCCUGAAUGAAGUUGUUGGAAAAUAAUUUGGUUAAGUUCAUCUAGUGGCCUAGUAGUAGUGAUGAUUUGUGUGUUUUCUUAGAAUUUAUUAGGCUAAUUGUUUCAGUGAUUUCAAGUUUUAUUUAACAAUGUUUCACUUGAUUCACACAGGACUUGUCUGUGCUUCAUAGUAUGUCUGUUUAUCAUCACUUGUUUGGCUGUAAUUUCCAAAACCAGAGUUUCCAUUAAGGGAAUCCAGUCUUACAACUUACAAGUGUCAAGUGUAUUUCCAUCGUAUCAGUAAAAUAAGUGUUGGUGUCUGCCGUUAAAUCCAAUUUGACUGGCGAAAGUGAAACAAUUGAGAGGGACAUGCGUCUAAAGGUUUCUCUGUACAUUGCAUAGGCCCUACAGUAUUGUAGUACCAAAGGGAAUGAAUUGCAUGACCUGAAUGCUUUUUGGGUUUUCUUUGACGAGGUUUUGUUGCUACCUUACUGGUUCCGUUAUAUAUUUCUUGUGUGUUUUUUCUCUUGAGAUUGCUCUUAUAAUGUUUCUGGUACAUGACAAGGGAUAUCUUCAUACUUGAGAUGGAGUUUGAGCCGUUCUCCACUAGUGGGUCUGUUAUGUCAUGCGACUUGUUCCUACAUUAGUGGGUUUGUGGUGCAGACCAAUGAGAUCUUCAUACAUGAGCAGGAGUUUGAGCCAUUCUCUACUAGUGGGUCUGUUGUGCGGAUUAUGCCUACUCUUGGUUGCAUACUGGCGGUACAAAUUCUUGAAUCGAUAACAUGGAUUAUGCUUUUGUGAGCCUUUGGUAGAUGAUUGUUGUGUUUUCUUAUUGAAUUUAUUGCUUUGCUUUGCAUCAUUUACUCUCUGCAAAAACAUGUUGUCUCUGUGUGUGGACACUUCCAUUAUUUAAUCUCUCAUUUUUAUAAUCAUAUCUUGUCUGGCUUGUGCGUGUGUUUGGCUGGUAUGGUUUACUUGUUUAUGACUCGGAAGGUGUUCGAUCUGUGGUAUUAUAUUGGUAUGUCAUAUAGGCUACAAUUGUAUCCUUAUGUGACCAAACUGACCGUCUAGUUAAACUUGAUCAUGAUAACCUCCUGGUUGAAUCCCCAGGCAGUUGAUACCUUCUCACUUGAAUGUAUCACUCAUGUGUCUUUUGGGACAGGAUAUGGUACACGGUGUUGAUUUCAGAUCUGCUGUGCGGUACGGUAACUACUUCAUGCUUCACAACUUUAAGGUAUAACAAUAUGAGUGAUUCCUGUAAUGAAUUCUUUUUUUCUAUGUACAUGAAGAGCUGAACACAUGGUCCUCUUCAUGUUAUCAUAAAACAAGCUAAAACCAAGGAUUGCAGCCUGUCAUUCAGGUAUACUAUUUCGAUCAGUUGGCAGAGCAGUUCAUCUUUUUGCUGGUUUUAGUAUAUUUUCAUUAUUUGUAGGUUGGUUUCCACCUAUUGUAAGAAAAUACAUCUGUAAGAACUUAAAUUGGUGUGAAUUCAGUAGUUGUGCAGAGCUUUUUGGGGUUUUGACCUAAGUGUCAGCUCAAUUCACAUGUGAAUUCAAUUAAUGUGGUACAACAAAACUUGAAUUGAAUGGUGAAUGUUUUGAUUAGUGUAUGAAAUGAGUUUUUAAUUUGAAUUUGAAGAGUUUCUAA